GUAAUUUCCACUUCAAAAGAUAGGAUGUCCUCUGGAUUCCUUAAGGAAAGGAAAAAAUCCUGAAGUAGAAUUUUUUCACAUUCCGCAGUUUCAGGUUCAACUGGAGGUUGGUUUGCAGAGAAGUGGAAUGGAUAAAGCUGUAGAGUGUGGGAACAUCUGAGAGUAAAUUCAUCUCUUCCUUGGUCUCAAACCUUGCCAUGAAUGCGUUGAGUCAUGAGUGUCUUGGAUUUUAAUGAAGUUAAGAUGUUGUCCUCUAUGACAUCAGCGUCACUGCAGGAGUUUUCCUGACCCACCUGCCUGCUGCCCACGUGUGGAAAUCUGCACCCACCACCUGCUCUGCCAGGUACAGCUCAAGGCCAGUGAAAGGGACAGAGCCUGAGAGACUUUUCUUCUAUGGAAGAUCAGGGGUUCUGCUUGCAAAGGGUGUGUCCUGGGCACGGCACCUCAGUCACAGCCCUUUUCCACAGAUGGAUGCUGUUGAUGCUGUACCCUUCCCUGCUGGCCUUGUUCAGGUGGUAAAAUCUCUUUUGGAAGAUGCUCUAAGCCAGUUCCUGAGUUGCAUCCCAUCGUGGAAAGGACACAGCAUGCAAAAAUAAGCUUGUCGCAUUCAUUUCCCACCACACUUACACUAAAUAGGGGGUUUCUCCAGAGGAGCAAGCUCCCUGUUCUCCCAUCUCCCACCCUGUCAUAGAACCGUGAGUUGGAAGGGACCCUGUAAGGCCACCUAGUCCAACUGCCUUGCAUCGAAGUGGGAUAAGUGCCACUCCGGUAGCGAUGGUGUUAGCGACUUGUAGAAAAAGGUCAGAAGAAGAGCGUGCACCGCCAAUUUCCAGCUAACAAAGGCACCUGGUCUCCACCGAGGACACUAGAGGGCGCUUCCACCUUAUUUUUGGGAGCACUCCUCUGCAGGAGUUCCUCGCCUCUUCCCCCAGCAGCUGGAGAAGGUUGGGUGAAGGUCUAUCGAAAAGGGGACUUGUCUCCGAUGUGUGUUUGCAAGGGGCUUAG
rnacentral:lncRNA from 1 species